UGUCCUGUGGGACUAUGCUGCCAUGUUCU
rnacentral:piRNA from 1 species